CCGCGAGUGGAGAAAUAUAGAAGCGCCUUCAGGGGGAAGCGGGAGAGACAAAAAACACGAAUGUAAAUACUUCAGAAGAUCAGUGCCUCUCCAUCACUGUUGACUUUGUUUAAUCCUUUGAGCCUCUACAAACAAUGGGAGAUGGGAUUUUUUCUUUUUUUUGUCACAACAAAAUCUAGAAAAUGUUAUUUGUGUCACUGCUGUGCCACAUCAGGAUGCGCACACGCUCCCCUUCAGUAGGCGAAUACGGUUCGUGUGCUUUUGUUUUAACGUCGCCGUUUUUAUUAGCUGUUUAAGACAUGCCCCAGUUUCUGUUUUCUGCUUAUUAAUAAUACAUAAUAACACGAAACUGACAUUUAAUGGAGGCGACGAAGGCACGUGAGAGCGGGCACGCAGGGGACAAAAAGACACUGAAAAAUAAACUAUUUUUAGUUCAUGUUGACAUUUUUCGCUUUAGUAUUCAAACAGCUGAGAGAGGACUCGUAUCAGUUUUCUAUGUAUUCUUCCAAACCAAGUGUAUAACCUGAUAUUUAACUAAAGCUGUUUUCACACAAGAACCCUGGAAAAUGUCUCCGGAUGCUUCUCCAUAGCGAGAACAUAGAGUUCGCUCUUUGUGACGGUGCAGCCUGGACACGCUGUGCAAGACAAAGACAAAGAGUUCUCUGGUUUUUAUUAGUUUUCAGUUGUUGGUUUGAGUUUGGGUUCAGAGUGAGUUUGCUUUUUUCAUUUUUUGCUUUGAUUUUUUUUUAAUUGUUCAGUUUUUGCUUAGUUUUGGUCUUUUUUUUUUUAUCAUUUUAAUAUGUGGAAGUAUCUCCAAGUAGACUUGUAGUCAAGACCAGAGGGUAUCGAGACCAAGACCGAGACAAAAAAAAAGUCUUUAAACUGCAGCCAGAUGCUAUUCUAUAUACAUAUGCAGGACACCUUAAACUAGUUUUUUAAUUAAGCAGCAAGGCAGAACAAAGUCGGGCCUGUAUCAAGACACAGGGACUAAACCCCAAUUCAACCAGACCCAGAACUGAUCCAGAAUUAAAACAGGACUACAACAGUAACCAAGACAGAACCAGAAUCAGAACUAGAUGAUAGCAGCACUAAAAAUCAUCAUAGACCUGCACUACACUUAUUUUUUAAUUCUACCAAAGUACAAUAUUUAGAUUGAGAAAAGUUCAUAUAAUUAUUUAGCCUUGUUGUGCAAACAAGCCUGCAGAACUUAAUAAAUAUAGAAUUUGAAAAAUAACAAAUGGUAUCUAAAAAGAAACACUAGGUACGAGAUACAUGUUCUGAUGAGUUUUGGCAAACAACCAUUUGACUAACAUGUGUCUCACCU
ensembl:lncRNA